AAAUCAAAUCAAAUCAAAGAAAACAAUUACAUUUCUUUUUUCCAGAAUAAAUUUUGGAGUGUCUACCUUGGUGGUAUCCGAUGCUCUUCCAGUCCCUGCCUUCAUAAUGGUGUAUGCAGGGACACUAUUCGCAGCUAUACAUGUGAUUGUAGAGAUGACUUUGAAGGAAUAAACUGCGCUUUUGCUAAAAAUGAGUGCCGCCACGAAAUCAACACAGGGUGUCAGCACUUCUGCUAUCCAGAAUCCAACUUUUAUCGCUGUUCAUGUGCUCAAGGCUAUACAUUGGGGGAAGACGAUAAAUCAUGCAUUG